GCACCAUACAACUUUCCCGUCUGACCUGUUCAGUGUUUGACGCGGGCAUACGCUGGUGCCACAGUGACUCAAUGUAAAUCCAGAUGGACCUCCUCUUCCUGUGGAGCCUGUCUCUACAUCAUUGACACACAA